rnacentral:rRNA from 1 species
AGGGUGAGAAUCCCGUACGUGACCGGUGACCGACCCCAUGUGAAACCCCUUCGACGAGUCGAGUUGUUUGGGAAUGCAGCUCAAAAUGGGUGGUAAAUUUCAUCUAAAGCUAAAUACCGGCUGGAGACCGAUAGCGCACAAGUAGAGUGAUCGAAAGAUGAAAAGCACUUUGGAAAGAGAGUCAAAAAGUACGUGAAAUUGUUGAAAGGGAAGCGCUCGCGACCAGACCUGUCCGUAGGUGAUCAACCGCCGAGUACCAGUUCUCGGCGGUGCACUCGCCUGCGAUCAGGCCAGCAUCGGUGCGGGCGGCCGGAUAAAGGCCUUGGGAAUGUAGCUCCUUCCGGGGAGCCUUAUAGCCCUCGGUGCAAUGCGGCCAGCCCGGACCGAGGACCGCGCUUCGGCUAGAUGCUGGCGUAAUGGUCGUGAGCGACCCGUCUUGAAACACGGACCAAGGAGUCUAACAUCUAUGCGAGUGUUUGGGUGUCAAACCCAUGCGCGUAAUGAAAGUGAACGGAGGUGAGAACCCCCCCGGGGGCGGCAUCAUCGACCGAUCCAGAUGUCUUCGGAUGGAUUUGAGUAUGAGCAUAGCUGUUGGGACCCGAAAGAUGGUGAACUAUGCCUGAAUAGGGUGAAGCCAGAGGAAACUCUGGUGGAGGCUCGCAGCGGUUCUGACGUGCAAAUCGAUCGUCAAAUUUGGGUAUAGGGGCGAAAGACUAAUCGAACCAUCUAGUAGCUGGUUCCUGCCGAAGUUUCCCUCAGGA